rnacentral:rRNA from 1 species
AUUGAACGCUGGCGGCAUGCCUUACACAUGCAAGUCGAACGGCAGCACGGGAGCAAUCCUGGUGGCGAGUGGCGAACGGGUGAGUAAAGUAUCGGAACGUGCCCAGUCGUGGGGGAUAACGUAGCGAAAGUUAUGCUAAUACCGCAUACGAUCUAUGGAUGAAAGCGGGGGAUCGCAAGACCUCGCGCGAUUGGAGCGGCCGAUAUCCGAUUAGGUAGUUGGUGGGGUAAAGGCUCACCAAGCCGACGAUCUGUAGCUGGUCUGAGAGGACGACCAGCCACACUGGGACUGAGGCACGGCCCAGACUCCUACGGGAGGCAGCAGUGGAGAAUUUUGGACAAUGGGCGAAAGCCUGAUCCAGCCAUGCCGCGUGCAGGAUGAAGGCCUUCGGGUUGUAAACUGCUUUUGUACGGAACGAAAAGGUUUGGCCUAAUAAGCUGAGCUCAUGACGGUACCGUAAGAAUAAGCACCGGCUAACUACGUGCCAGCCGCCGCGGUAA